rnacentral:rRNA from 1 species
GAUGAACGCUGGCGGCGUGCCUAAUACAUGCGAGUCGAGCGAACAGACGAGGAGCUUGCUCCUCUGACGUUAGCGGCGGACGGGUGAGUAACACGUGGAUAACCUACCUAUAAGACUGGGAUAACUUCGGGAAACCGGAGCUAAUACCGGAUAAUAUAUUGAACCGCAUGGUUCAAUAGUGAAAGGCGGUUUUGCUGUCACUUAUAGAUGGAUCCGCGCCGCAUUAGCUAGUUGGUAAGGUAACGGCUUACCAAGGCAACGAUGCGUAGCCGACCUGAGAGGGUGAUCGGCCACACUGGAACUGAGACACGGUCCAGACUCCUACGGGAGGCAGCAGUAGGGAAUCUUCCGCAAUGGGCGAAAGCUUGACGGAGCAACGCCGCGUGAGUGAUGAAGGUCUUCGGAUCGUAAAACUCUGUUAUUAGGGAAGAACAAAUGUGUAAGUAACUAUGCACGUCUUGACGGUACCUAAUCAGAAAGCCACGGCUAACUACGUG